rnacentral:rRNA from 1 species
ACCAGUCCUAGCCCAUGCAACCUUAACUACACAUAACUACGUAUUCUACUUAAAUAAAACAUUUACCCCUACAAAAGUAUAGGCGAUAGAAAUUUUAACCUUGGAGCUAUAGAGCUAGUACCGCAAGGGAAAGAUGAAAGAAAUAACUUAUAGUACAACAAAGCAAAGACUAACUCUUUUACCUUUUGCAUAAUGAAUUAACUAGAAAUCACUUCGCAAAAAGAAUUUAAGUCAAGAACCCCGAAACCAGACGAGCUACUUAUGGGCAGCAUUAAGAGCUAAUCCGUCUAUGUGGCAAAAUAGUGGAAAGACCUAUAAGUAGUGGUGAAAAGCCUAUCGAGCCUGGUGAUAGCUGGUUAUCCAGAUAAGAAUUUUAGUUCAACUUUAAAUUUACUUCAAGAACCCAUAAUCUAAACGUAAAUUUAAUUGUUACUCUAAAGAGGGACAGCUCUUUAGAUACAGGAAAAAACCUUAAUUAGUGAGUAAACUAAACAAACUCCAUAGUUGGCUUAAAAGCAGCCAUCAAUUAAAAAAGCGUUCAAGCUUAACCAAUCAAACCCAACUCAAUCUAAAUAUUAAAAUCACCUCCUAAUUUUAUACUGGAUUAAUCUAUAAACAUCAAUAGAAGCAAUAAUGUUAAUAUGAGUAACAAGAAAAACAUUUCUCCCUGCAUAAGUUUAUAUCAGCCCGAAUAUAUCACUGAUAGUUAACAAACUUAUAAUUCAACCCACCAAUAUCAACCUUUAUUACACAUAAUGUUAAUCCAACACCGGCAUGCACUUAAGGGAAAGAUUAAAAAAAGUAAAAGGAACUCGGCAAACACUAACCCCGCCUGUUUACCAAAAACAUCACCUCUAGCAUAAACAGUAUUAGAGGCACUGCCUGCCCAGUGACACACGUUAAACGGCCGCGGUAUCCUGACCGUGCAAAGGUAGCAUAAUCAUUUGUUCUUUAAAUAGGGACUUGUAUGAACGGCUAAACGAGGGUUAAUCUGUCUCUUACUUUUAAUCAGUGAAAUUGACCUCCCCGUGAAGAGGCGGGGAUAGACAAAUAAGACGAGAAGACCCUAUGGAGCUUAAAUUUAUUAAUUCAAGCAAACACUCAUAAAACCUAUAAGGCAUAAAACCUAUAAGGCACAACCUCUCUUGCCCUUGAGUUAAAAAUUUUGGUUGGGGUGACCUCGGAGCAUAAAUUAACCUCCGAAUGAUCUUAAUUCAGACCCAGACCCGUCUAAAUUUAUAUUCAUAAAUUGACCCAAGCUUUUGAUCAACGGAACAAGUUACCCUAGGGAUAACAGCGCAAUCCUACCCAAGAGUCCAUAUCGACAGUAGGGUUUACGACCUCGAUGUUGGAUCAGGACAUCCAAAUGGUGCAACCGCUAUUAAUGGUUCGUUUGUUCAACGAUUAAAGUCCUACGUGAUCUGAGUUCAGACCGGAGAAAUCCAGGUCGGUUUCUAUCUAUUUUAUAUUUCUCCCAGUACGAAAGGACAAGAGAAAUGAGGCCAAUACCCACAACAUGCCUUACAGACAAUAGAUGAUAUAAUCUCAAUCUAAUAAUCUAUAUACAUACAUCAACCCAAGAGCAGGGUUA